rnacentral:piRNA from 1 species
UAACAGCCACCAGAUAAGUCAGACAAAUGC